rnacentral:rRNA from 1 species
UUCGCAAUGCCCGAAAGGGUGACGGAGCGACGCCGCGUGUGGGAAGAAGGCCUUCGGGUUGUAAACCACUGUCGGGAGUUAAGAAAUGCAAGGAUAUUAAUAGUGUCUUUGUUUGACUAAGGCUCCGGAGGAAGCCACGGCUAACUCUGUGCCAGCAGCCGCGGUAAUACAGAGGCGGCAAGCGUUGUUCGGAAUUAUUGGGCGUAAAGAGCACGUAGGCGGCUAUGUAAGUCGGUUGUGAAAGCCUUCCGCUCAACGGAAGAACAGCAUCCGAUACUACAUGGCUUGAGUGCGGGAGGGGAGAGUGGAACUUCUGGUGGAGCGGUGAAAUGCGUAGAUAUCAGAAGGAACGCCGGCGGCGAAAGCGGCUCUCUGGCCCAUAACUGACGCUGAGUGUGCGAAAGCUAGGGGAGCAAACGGGAUUAGAUACCCCGGUAGUCCUAGCCGUAAACGAUGGGCACUAAGUAGAGGGGUUUU